UCGGCGCGGCUGGGCUCGGCUCGGGGCGAGCAGGGGAGCGGAGCGGCGGCUCUGCCCAGCCCGGCGCUCAGGGAGUGCCGCCUCGGGCCAUGCGAGCGGCGGCGGGCAGCGUUCCCGCGGUGCGGCCGGAGUUGGGACCGAAGUCCUCUCGGGCGCUCCUCUGUCUCUUCCAAACGGCUCCUAUCAGCACGGCUUCAACUCUUUCCAUCGGAGACCGAGGGGAGGAGGAGAAGGAGGCGGAGGAGGAGGAGUUUUACAGUAGAGUGAGUCACCUGGUUAUCUAAGCCUCGGGGACAGAUCACCUCACCAAAUGCCACAACUACACAUGCAGUUUCCAGAAGAUAGCUCAACCUGUCCUCAUCCUAAGACUUUGAGAUGCAGCACUGAGCAUUGAACAAUACAUAGCUUAAGACCACACAAAUGUUUGUCAACAUUUAAAGAUAUAAUGGAUAGCAGUUUUCUAUUAAAGAAAAUAUUUUUUGUCCUAAAAUCUUCUAGGAUUUUCCUGCUACUAUUUUGCUGUUUCCCCCACUAGGCUGGGAUCAGUUCUGUUGGUCAUGCGUGUGUAUGCAUUGCUCAAAGACUUACUAAUAAAAUGUGCACAUAAAUAAAAGUUUUGUAAUGUUUCCAUGGACA